rnacentral:rRNA from 1 species
AUGGCGAAUCCUGCACGAGUUGGUGCCUAUUCCAUCCUCCUGCCAUCUGCACCUCACCAGGCCGUCCGCCUCCCGGCGGCUGCUCCACCAUCUGCGUCAAAGUGUGAGUUGCAGAUGCACCAUGAUGGAAGAAGCAAGCCUCCGCGCGUCAGCCUCGCCUGCUCAGCCUCCAACCUUCCUUGCACCGAACCAGCAUAUGUCCUCAAGGCAAUGUUGGCAGAAGAAACCAUAGGACCGCGCAGUGAUGUGGAACGGGAUGCUAGAAUACGAAAGCAUCUCAAAAACCCUGAACUCUCGCCGUCUGCGUAUGACACGGCAUGGGUGGCUAUGGUGCCAUUGCCGGACUUCGAUCCGCAGGCUCCAUGCUUCCCUCAGUGUGUUGAAUGGAUAUUGCAAAAUCAACACUCUAGUGGGUCUUGGGGAAUCAAUGAAUUUGGCUUAUUAGCCAACAAGGAUAUUAUGUUAUCCACAUUGGCCUGUAUCAUUGCACUUCAUAAGUGGAACGUUGGCUCCGACCACAUAAGGAGAGGAUUAGAAUUUAUUGGAAGGAAUUUCUCCACUGUCAUGGAUGAUCAAAUUGUUUCUCCAGUAGGCUUCAAUCUCAUUUUCCCUGGUAUGCUUAACCAUGCUUUCGGGAUGGGUUUGAUAAUUCCAGUCACAGAAGCUGAUAUCAAUGGGAUACUUCACCUCCGUGAGAUGGAGCUGACAAGAUUAAGUGAGGAGAAAUCGUGUGGGAAAGAUGCAUAUUUGGCCUAUGUUGCUGAAGAAGGGUUAGUAAACCUGCUGGACUACAAUCAAGUGAUGAAGUUCCAGCGAAAGAAUGGGUCGUUGUUCAACUCUCCUGCCGCAACUGCUGCUGCAUUAGUGCACUACUAUGAUAAUAAAGCUCUCCAGUACCUCGACUCCAUUGUCAGUAUAUUUGGUGGUGCAGUACCAACAGCGUACCCACAGAAUAUAUAUUAUCAGCUCUCAAUGGUGGAUAUGCUCGAAAAGAUCGGAAUAUCUCGCCAUUUUUCGAGUGACACAAACAGCAUCCUGGACAAGGCAUACAUUUCCUGGUUACAGAGAGACGAGGAGAUCAUGCAAGAUGUAGAAACAUGUGCAAUGGCGUUUCGCCUUUUACGGAUGAAUGGUUAUGAUGUGUCGUCAGAUGACUUGUCCCAUGUUGCUGAAGCCUCCACUUUCCAUAGCUCACUUGAAGGAUAUUUAAAUCAUACAAAAUCUUUAUUGGAGUUAUACAAGGCUUCAAAAGUAUGUUUGUCAGAAAAUGAAUUGAUCCUGGAGAACAUAAGCAACUGGUCAGGCCACUUAUUGGCAGAGAAAUUGCGCUGUGAUGGGACACAAAGAAUGCCAAUUUUUGGAGAGGUAGAAUAUACUCUUAAAUUUCCCUUUUAUGCGACAGUAGAACCUCUAGACCAUAAGAGGAACAUUGAACAUUUUGAUUCUAGGGUUACUCAGCAGCUAAAGAGAAAAAACAUGCCAUGUCAUGUCAAUCAAGAUCUUCUAGAUUUUGCCGUUGAAGAUUUCAGUUUUUCUCAAUCUAUAUACCAGGAUGAACUCUGCCACCUCGAGAGUUGGGAGAAAGAAAACAGGCUGGAACAGCUUAAAUUUCUACGCAAGGGGAGUCUGAUAAAUUGUUAUCUCUCUGCUGCUGCCACCCUAUCCACUCAUGAACUCUCUGAUGCUCGCAUUGCAUGUGCGAAAACUAUUGCGCUCGUACUUGUUACUGAUGACUUCUUUGAUGUUGGAGCAUCGAAAGAAGAACAAGAAAACCUCAUAGCAUUAGUAGAGAAGUGGGAUCACCAUGACGAAGUUGAGUUCUGCUCUGAGCAAGUAGAAAUAGUAUUUUCUGCUUUUUAUAGUACAGUUAAGCACAUUGGAGAAAUGGCUUCCGCAGUGCAAAAGCGCGAUGUUACAAAACACCUGAAUGAAACAUGGCUACAUUACUUGAGGUCUGCAGCGACUGAGGCGGAAUGGCAACGGAAUCAAUAUGUGCCAACAGUUGAGGAAUACAUGAUAGAAGCGGUUAACUCAUUCGCAGAGGGGCCCAUUAUGCUAACAUCACUAUAUUUUGUCCAACAAAAACUCGAGGAGUACAUAAUCAAAGACCCGGAGUACCAUGAGUUGCUUAGAAUAAAGGGCAACUGUGGCCGUCUCCUGAAUGAUACUAGGGGCUUCGAGAGGGAGUCCAGUGAGGGAAAACUGAACAUCAUCUCACUGCUUGUUCUUCAGAGUGGAGGUUCCAUGUCCAUAGAAGCUGCUCAAGAGGCGGUACAGGAGUCUAUAGCCUCAUGUCGGAGAGACCUGCUAAGGAUGGUUGUUAGAGAAGACCGUGUAGUUCCUAGGGUAUGCAAGGAGGUGUUCUGGAGGUUUUGCAGGACAGUUCACUUGUUCUACUGUCAGACUGACGGAUUUUCCUCGCCCAAGGAAAUGCUCCGCACGAUGAACGCAAUAUUCCGAGAGCCACUCAAACUCCAACAUACCAGUCCUUUGGAUGCUCAGUCAGAACAAUAA